UAUCAAAAAUCGGUCCAUCACCAUACAAUGCAUAUACUUUCUCUAUAUAUCCAAACAUAGGCACAUUGUUACGACAAACGCACAAACGGAAACGAAAUGACGAACACAAAAACAAUCAAACCACAAGUAGAAAAUAAAGAGACACAGAUUUACGUGGAAAACCCUUUGCAGGGAAAAAACCACGAGCGAGGGAGGAGAGAGCUUCACUAUGGAACGAAA
rnacentral:lncRNA from 1 species